AUUGAACGCUGGCGGCAGGCCUAACACAUGCAAGUCGAACGGUAACAGGAAGCAGCUUGCUGCUUCGCUGACGAGUGGCGGACGGGUGAGUAAUGCCUGGGAAGCUGCCUGAUGGAGGGGGAUAACUACUGGAAACGGUAGCUAAUACCGCAUAAUGUCGCAAGACCAAAGAGGGGGACCUUCGGGCCUCUUGCCAUCGGAUGUGCCCAGAUGGGAUUAGCUUGUUGGUGGGGUAACGGCUCACCAAGGCGACGAUCCCUAGCUGGUCUGAGAGGAUGACCAGCCACACUGGGACUGAGACACGGUCCAGACUCCUACGGGAGGCAGCAGUGGGGAAUAUUGCACAAUGGGCGCAAGCCUGAUGCAGCCAUGCCGCGUGUAUGAAGAAGGCCUUCGGGUUGUAAAGUACUUUCAGCGGGGAGGAAGGGAGUAAAGUUAAUACCUUUGCUCAUUGACGUUACCCGCAGAAGAAGCACCGGCUAACUCCGUG
rnacentral:rRNA from 1 species